CAUUUGUCAUUGGUCAUCCAUUUUCGCAACAUUUCCUUUAGAUUUAGGUACACAGACGCGGGUUGGGAGCAUAUCCCUAGAAGACGAAGGAUCUCAUUGGAAGAAGUAACCGAAAAAUUAACAGCUAACUAUGCUUUUCUGUAAUUUUCCAUUAAAUAUUUCAAUAUGGACUUGACGGUAGGUGACAGUAAAGUAUAGAUGUGAAUUUCCAGGCUGCAAUAGUAAAAAUGUGGAAUGAAAGAUGAAUAAACAUUUUAUAGAUUUCUCAAAUGCUUUCCUGGUGUGUAUUCUAAAUGGGAAAAAUUCUGUAAAAUUCAAUGCUUAACACUAAAUUAUCGCUUAUGUGAUCAUCAUUUAUGUGAAAUAAUUUUCUGGAAAGUUAUUUUACAAAUUGCAAUAGAAAACAUUUGAAAUAUAAAGCAUCUAUUCCUACCUCUCAUCUGCCCUCAUCGUCUACUUCCAUUUAUGAAAAUCAAAGCUAUGCCAAAGUUUAUGGUUGUAUACUAAAACAAGAACAUUCAUAUUAUAUAAAUACAGUUAUAGUAGACACUGAUAUGAUUAUCAAGGAGCAUCAAGUUUGUAGUUCAAUGCUCAUACCAUAACAUCUGGCAAUUUACCUAAAGAAGAGCCAUUGGAGUUUUCAAGUGAAUUUUCAGAUUCCAUUUUUACAGAGGAAAUUAGUAGUUUUGACACAGAAAAAUCGGGUUUUUUGCCUGUAACUGAAACUAGCAAUAACAAUUUAACACCUAUGGAAAUGGUUAUGUAUCAAAUAUUGGAAUACAAUAGACAAAAUAUCAAAAUCGAAAAAUAGUUUAAAGAAUAACAAAAAGCAGUUAGAGACAUUGAAGAAGAUGUAUGAAAUUUGUAUAUAAGAAAGUUAAAAUAAUGCAAUGAAAGAAUUAUUUAUUAUAUAAAGAGGAGUUGGAAGCAAGUCAUUGCCUACUAUUUUACAUCACAUACAAUAGACAUCUGCCUUGAAAAAAAAAUGGUUUCAUCUGAUGGAAUCUUGUGGGACCAAAAUUUUCUUUUAUUUAUUAUAUAAUAAUGAUUUAUUUUAGAAUUUUAUUGGCUUAAGUUUACAGAGAACAUAUUUGUUUUCAAACUUUUAAUGUUUAUUUUUCUUUGAAAGACUGUAUUAUGUGUAAUAGGUUUAUUUUCUUGUUUUGAUUUUGAGACAUAUUUAUGAAUUUUCCACACAUUUGUAUAGAAUAUUAUUUUUGUUAAAUCCAAAAAUGAGAGUACUGUUUUAUUUCUGGUUAAUAUUUAUUUACACUUCUCAAUUUGUUAGAGAAAUAUGUAUUUUAUUAGUUCUUAUUUUAAAAGUGAUAUUGUAAUCAUGUCUACUAAUUUUCCUUGGUUUAGAAGAAUAUAUGUAAAUAAACGUAUCCCAGUUC